CUGCUGCCUUCCGUAGGAGUUUGGACCGUGUCUCAGUUCUAAUGUGGGGGACCUUCCUCUCAGAACCCCUACUGAUCGUCGCCCCGGUGGGCCGUUACCCCGCCGGCAAGCUAAUCAGACGCAUCCCCAUCCUUUACCGGCCGAAGCCUUUGGUCAUGAAAAUAUGCAUCAACAUGACAACAUACGGUAUUAAUCCGCCUUUCGACGGGCUGUCCCAUAGUAAAGGGCAGGUUGGAUACGCGUUACUUACCCGUACGCCGGUCGCCA
rnacentral:rRNA from 1 species